CCUUGUACGCACCGCCCGUCAAGUCAUGGGAGUUGGGAGUACCCGAAGUCCGCUUAGCUAACGCAAAAGGCGGCGGCCGACGGUAAGCUCGAUGACUGGGACU
rnacentral:rRNA from 1 species